rnacentral:rRNA from 1 species
AGUGAACGCUGGCGGCAGGCCUAACACAUGCAAGUCGAGCGGCAGCGCGGGGGCAACCCUGGCGGCGAGCGGCGGACGGGUGAGGAAUGCAUCGGAAUCUACCUCGUUGUGGGGGAUAACCUCGGGAAACCGGGACUAAUACCGCAUACGACCUACGGGUGAAAGUGGGGGACCUUCGGGCCUCACGCGAUGAGAUGAGCCGAUGCCGGAUUAGCUAGUUGGCGGGGUAAAGGCCCACCAAGGCGACGAUCCGUAGCUGGUCUGAGAGGAUGAUCAGCCACACUGGAACUGAGACACGGUCCAGACUCCUACGGGAGGCAGCAGUGGGGAAUAUUGGACAAUGGGCGCAAGCCUGAUCCAGCCAUGCCGCGUGUGUGAAGAAGGCCUCGGUUGUAAG